CACGCUAACUGUGCAUCUAGUGGGUACGCAACCGGCUGGGAUGCCACCGGGGCAUAACCUUGUAUUCAGGAUGAUAGCACCCGGAGGCAGGGCUUCUACCCAGCAAACCAGUUAGAGGAGAGUAAUCAGGGAGCCUUGGCAGCUGUGACUGGCGUUCUGCAUGCCCCUCUGCUUUCUGAGGCUACUCACUUCCUUGCUUGCAUGUGGCCACAGUGGCAAGUUCCAACAGUUUCUUCAGUCAACGACCCCUCCCUCCCGAUUUUGCAGUUUGAGUCACCUUCAAUUUCCUGCCUGCCUGCCCCUUCCCUGAUUGACCUGAUAAAUCCAGGACAGCUUUUAUUGCUUUUGGCAAAACAUUGCCAUUAAGAUUUACGGAGCCAAAAGCUGGUACAAUGUAAUCUUCAGAGUAAUUUACACAGUGAGUUUCAAA
rnacentral:lncRNA from 1 species